AGCGAACGCUGGCGGCAGGCCUAACACAUGCAAGUCGAGCGGACGUAGCAAUACGUCAGCGGCUGACGGGAGAGUAACACGUGGGAACGCGCCCUUCGGUUCGGGAUAACUCAGGGAAACUUGGGCUAAUACCGGAUACGCCCUUACGGGGAAAGAUUUAUUGCCGAAGGAACGGCCCGCGUCCGAUUAGCUUGUUGGUGAGGUAACGGCUCACCAAGGCGACGAUCGGUAGCUGGUCUGAGAGGAUGACCAGCCUCACUGGGACUGAGACACGGCCCAAGCUCCUACGGGGGGCAGCAGUGGGGAAUAUUGGACAAUGGGCGCAAGCCUGAUCCAGCCAUGCCGCGUGGGUGAUGAAGGCCCUAGGGUUGUAAAGCCCUUUCGGCGGGGAAGAUAAUGACGGUACCCGCAGAAGAAGCCCCGGCUAACUUCGUGCCAGCCGCCGCCGUAACAC
rnacentral:rRNA from 1 species